AUGAAUGUAAAAGAUUUUAAAAACGUACUUAGAUACCGAUUAGGUUUUUCUGAGAAUUUUCCAGAUUUUUUCAGAUUUAUUCUCAUGUUACUAGAGCUUAAUCUAAUUUUUGGAUGGUUCUACAAGUCUUUCCAGGUGCUCUAAGUAUUUUAUUUGGGUUCCUCGCAUUCCAAACCAUCUAUAGUUUUUUUCUAAAUUUUUUAGAGUUUUCGGAGUAUUUUUUGUCAUUUAAUUGCAAUUUUAGUAUUUUCUGGAGUUAUUUUCGAAUCCGAAAUUAAUUCCUAAAAUUAGAAAAAUGAGGAAAAUAAACCGAACUCCAACCUGGUCUAUAAAUACUUUACGGUGAUCUCCUUGACGUUCUUUUUCUAAUGUCGCAAAAAACCUCACGUCGUUUCGACAACCCUAGCUCCCG
rnacentral:lncRNA from 1 species